rnacentral:rRNA from 1 species
AUGAACGCUGGCGGCGUGCCUAAUACAUGCAAGUCGCGCGAACGGACGAGAAGCUUGCUUCUCUGAUGUUAGCGGCGGACGGGUGAGUAACACGUGGAUAACCUACCUAUAAGACUGGGAUAACUUCGGGAAACCGUAGCUAAUACCGGAUAAUAUUUUGAACCGCAUGGUUCAAAAGUGAAAGACGGUCUUGCUGUCACUUAUAGAUGGAUCCGCGCUGCAUUAGCUAGUUGGUAAGGUAACGGCUUACCAAGGCAACGAUGCAUAGCCGACCUGAGAGGGUGAUCGGCCACACUGGAACUGAGACACGGUCCAGACUCCUACGGGAGGCAGCAGUAGGGAAUCUUCCGCAAUGGGCGAAAGCCUGACGGAGCAACGCCGCGUGAGUGAUGAAGGUCUUCGGAUCGUAAAACUCUGUUAUUAGGGAAGAACAUAUGUGUAAGUAACUGUGCACAUCUUGACGGUACCUAAUCAGAAAGCCACGGCUAACUACGU